rnacentral:rRNA from 1 species
AGUCGUACGCUUCUUUUUCACCGGAGCUUGCUCCACCGGAAAAAGAAGAGUGGCGAACGGGUGAGUAACACGUGGGUAACCUGCCCAUCAGAAGGGGAUAACACUUGGAAACAGGUGCUAAUACCGUAUAACAAUCGAAACCGCAUGGUUUUGAUUUGAAAGGCGCUUUCGGGUGUCGCUGAUGGAUGGACCCGCGGUGCAUUAGCUAGUUGGUGAGGUAACGGCUCACCAAGGCCACGAUGCAUAGCCGACCUGAGAGGGUGAUCGGCCACAUUGGGACUGAGACACGGCCCAAACUCCUACGGGAGGCAGCAGUAGGGAAUCUUCGGCAAUGGACGAAAGUCUGACCGAGCAACGCCGCGUGAGUGAAGAAGGUUUUCGGAUCGUAAAACUCUGUUGUUAGAGAAGAACAAGGAUGAGAGUAACUGUUCAUCCCUUGACGGUAUCUAACCAGAAAGCCACGGCUAACUACGUGCCAGCAGCCGCGGUAAUACGUAGGUGGCAAGCGUUGUCCGGAUUUAUUGGGCGUAAAGCGAGCGCAGGCGGUUUCUUAAGUCUGAUGUGAAAGCCCCCGGCUCAACCGGGGAGGGUCAUUGGAAACUGGGAGACUUGAGUGCAGAAGAGGAGAGUGGAAUUCCAUGUGUAGCGGUGAAAUGCGUAGAUAUAUGGAGGAACACCAGUGGCGAAGGCGGCUCUCUGGUCUGUAACUGACGCUGAGGCUCGAAAGCGUGGGGAGCAAACAGGAUUAGAUACCCUGGUAGUCCACGCCGUAAACGAUGAGUGCUAAGUGUUGGAGGGUUUCCGCCCUUCAGUGCUGCAGCUAACGCAUUAAGCACUCCGCCUGGGGAGUACGACCGCAAGGUUGAAACUCAAAGGAAUUGACGGGGGCCCGCACAAGCGGUGGAGCAUGUGGUUUAAUUCGAAGCAACGCGAAGAACCUUACCAGGUCUUGACAUCCUUUGACCACUCUAGAGAUAGAGCUUCCCCUUCGGGGGCAAAGUGACAGGUGGUGCAUGGUUGUCGUCAGCUCGUGUCGUGAGAUGUUGGGUUAAGUCCCGCAACGAGCGCAACCCUUAUUGUUAGUUGCCAUCAUUUAGUUGGGCACUCUAGCAAGACUGCCGGUGACAAACCGGAGGAAGGUGGGGAUGACGUCAAAUCAUCAUGCCCCUUAUGACCUGGGCUACACACGUGCUACAAUGGGAAGUACAACGAGUCGCGAAGUCGCGAGGCUAAGCUAAUCUCUUAAAGCUUCUCUCAGUUCGGAUUGUAGGCUGCAACUCGCCUACAUGAAGCCGGAAUCGCUAGUAAUCGCGGAUCAGCACGCCGCGGUGAAUACGUUCCCGGGCCUUGUACACACCGCCCGUCACACCACGAGAGUUUGUAACACCCGAAGUCGGUGAGGUAACCUUUGAGC